CCUACGGGAGGCAGCAGUAGGGAAUAUUGCUCAAUGGGGGAAACCCUGAAGCAGCAACGCCGCGUGGAGGAUGAAGGUUUUCGGAUUGUAAACUCCUUUUGAUAGAGAAGAUAAUGACGGUAUCUAACGAAUAAGCACCGGCUAACUCCGUGCCAGCAGCCGCGGUAAUACGGAGGGUGCAAGCGUUACUCGGAAUCACUGGGCGUAAAGGGCGCGUAGGCGGGAUAGCAAGUCAGAUGUGAAAUCCUAUGGCUUAACCAUAGAACUGCCUUUGAAACUGUUAUUCUAGAGUAUGGGAGAGGUAGGUGGAAUUCUUGGUGUAGGGGUAAAAUCCGUAGAGAUCAAGAAGAAUACUCAUUGCGAAGGCGACCUGCUAGAACAUAACUGACGCUGAUGCGCGAAAGCGUGGGGAGCAAACAGGAUUAGAUACCCGGGUAGUC
rnacentral:rRNA from 1 species